ensembl:lncRNA
UAGCUGAGCAUCAAUUGUAGGUUAGUACAAUAAGGUUAAUUUAAUAAGAGGCGAUCUAGAGUUGAAAUGUUUUAUUUUUUAUAAUUUUUUAUCAAGUGAUCAAAGUGUUUGUUGUCGCUGCGAUCAGUGGCCCGGAUGCUGUGUACAGUCUGCACUGUAUAAGAUCACUAUUGCACACCAAAUGCUCUUACUCAACAGAUGGGGACAGCUACCGUCACCCAAUUUUCUUUCGCACAAGCUGUGCAAAAGUGGCUGCGCUAUGCGCCAGACCGGGCAGGAGGGACUGGACGACAACUUAUGCAGGCAUCAGAUGACAAUGAAGUGUAAAUUAAGAGUAGAGAGGCUAAUAAACAUGAAUUUGAUUUUAAAUAGUGUGGUGUGUUCUGUGUUUUAUACAAGAUUUCAAAUGUUCCAUUACUUUUUAACAUCCUGGCUGUAGAUAAAGCAGGCUAUUUAAUUUAUGGCAUUACAUUUAAAAUUAACAUUUAAAAACGAUUGAAAUUCCAUUGAAAUCACGUUGAUCCUUAGUUCAGUUGAAAUUUCAACAUUGUUUCAAUAUUCCUGAUAAUUG